rnacentral:rRNA from 1 species
GACGAACGCUGGCGGCGUGCUUAACACAUGCAAGUCGAACGGACAGACGCUGCGUUUGUUGGGCGGACGAUUGGCGAGGGCGGGAGAAAAACGUGUGUAAACUCUACUUGACAUUGUGGGAACACUAGGGAACAGGGGCUAAAACCGGAGAUGAUAUCUUGCACCGUGUGGGGGAAUGGAAAGAGACGGUUGUGGGGGCUGGUCUAGAUGGAUCCGAGCCGCAUUAGCUGGUUGGGGAGGUAACGGCUUACCAAGGCAACGAUGCGUAGCCGACCUGAGAGGGUGAUCGGCCACACUGGAACUGAGACACGGUCCAGACUCCUACGGGAGGCAGCAGUAGGGAAUCUUCCGCAAUGGGCGAAAGCCUGACGGAGCAACGCCGCGUGAGUGAUGAAGGUCUUCGGAUCGUAAAACUCUGUUAUUAGGGAAGAACAAAUGUGUAAGUAACUAUGCACGUCUUGACGGUACCUAAUCAGAAAGCCACGGCUAACUACGUG